rnacentral:rRNA from 1 species
GGGGGGGGGGGGGGGGGGGCGGAGGGGGGGGAGGUGGGGGGGAAAGAGGGGGAGCUGGGUGCUCGGGGGUUGGGGGGGGGGGGGGGGGUAACAGGUGGAUAACCUCCCUAUAAGACUGGGAUAACUUCGGGAACCCGGAGCUAAUACCGGAUAACAUGUUGAACCGCAUGGUUCAACAGUGAAAGACGGUUUUGCUGUCACUACUAGAUGGAUCCGCGUCGCCUUAGCUAGUUGGUAAGGUAACGGCUUACCAAGGCAACGGUGCGUGACCGACCUGAGAGGGGGAACGGCCACACUGGAAAUGGGACACGGUCCAGAAUCCUACGGGAGGCAGCAGUAGGGAAUCUUCCGCAAUGGGGGAAAGCCUGACGGAGCAACGCCGCGUGAGUGAAGAAGGUCUUCGGAUCGUAAAACUCUGUUAUUAGGGAAGAACAAAUGUGUAAGUAACUAUGCACGUCUUGACGGUACCUAAUCAGAAAGCCACGGCUAACUUCGUG